GCGGUUAAAAAGCUCGUAGUUGGAUUUCUGUCGAGGAUGGCCGGUCCGCACUUUGUGCGUGCAUCUGGUUCAGCCUUGGCAUCCUCCUGGGGAACGUAUCUGCGCUUAAUUGCGUGGUGCGGUAUCCAGGACUUUUACUUUGAGGAAAUUAGAGUGUUCACGGCAGGCAAACGCCUUGAAUACAUUAGCAUGGAAUAAUAAUAUAGGACCUUGGUCCCAUUUUGUUGGUUUCUGGAACUGAGGUAAUGAUUAAUAGGGAUAAUUGGGGGCAUUCGUAUUAACGUGUCAGAGGUGGAAUUCUUGGAUUACGUUACGACGAACUACCGCGAAAGCAUUUGCCAAGGAUGUUUUCAUUGAUCA
rnacentral:rRNA from 1 species